rnacentral:rRNA from 1 species
AGAAUCAACGCUGGCGGCGUGCCUAACACAUGCAAGUCGCACGAGAAAGGGGGAGCAAUCCCUGAGUAAAGUGGCGCACGGGUGAGUAACACGUGAAUCAUCUACCUCCGAGUGGGGAAUAACCUAGAGAAAUCUGGGCUAAUACCGCAUAACACUUACGAGUCAAAGCAGCAAUGCGCUUGGGAGAGGAGUUCGCGGCCGAUUAGUUAGUUGGCGGGGUAAUGGCCCACCAAGACGAUGAUCGGUA